rnacentral:rRNA from 1 species
AUUGAACGCUGGCGGCAUGCUUUACACAUGCAAGUCGAACGGCAGCGCGGGCUUCGGCCUGGCGGCGAGUGGCGAACGGGUAAGUAAUGCAUCGGAACGUGCCCAGUAGUGGGGGAUAGCCCGGCGAAAGCCGGAUUAAUACCGCAUACGACCUGAGGUGGAAAGCGGGGGACCGAAAGGCCUCGCGCUAUUGGAGCGGCCGAUGUCGGAUUGGCUAGUUGGUGGGGUGAAGGCUUACCAAGGCGACGAUCCGUAGCUGGUCUGAGAGGACGACCAGCCACACUGGGACUGAGACACGGCCCAGACUGCUACGGGAGGCAGCAGUGGGGAAUUUUGGACAAUGGGGGCAACCCUGAUCCAGCCAUGCCGCGUGCGGGAAGAAGGCCUUCGGGUUGUAAACCGCUUUUGUUCGGGAAGAAAUCCUCUGGGCUAAUACCCCGGGGGGAUGACGGUACCGGAAGAAUAAGCACCGGCUAACUACGUG